rnacentral:lncRNA from 1 species
GCACUUGACCAAGGUAGGACUAAGCCAGUGGAUCACAAACAUCCUGGAGAGCAGUGACUCUGUGAUUCCAUCACAAGAAUAUGAAGGACUGAGAAGAUCUCCAGCUCUGCCCAUUGCACCUUCCCAUUGAGAAGCAGCAUGGCACCCUGGUGGCAGGGGCUGAUACUCAGCCGGGCCAGGGUGCUCUCCUGUUAACCAUAACCAAGCUCACAGGACAUGGGAUGAGCCCACUGUGUGACAC